rnacentral:lncRNA from 1 species
GAUGGGGAAUGCCUUAAACAAACUAAAGUAAGGCGGAUCCCAUAAACAAAGUCAAGGAAGGGGGAUGCCACACACUAACUCAAGGAAGGGGGAUGCCCAAGUGGAAUGCCAUAACUAAGUGAAGGAAGGGGAAUGCCAUUAUAAGACUUGAGUAUGGGAGAUGCCCUAAACAAAGUCACUGAAGGAAUAUAUCCUAAACAAACUGGAGAAAGGAAGAUGUCCUAAACAAACUCCAAGAGGGUAUACCAUAAACCAACUCAAGGGGUAGGGGGACGUCGUAGAAAACUAAUGAAAGGGGGAUGUGCUAAUAACAGUGAUGGAAAGUAAUUGUCAUAGACAAACUCCAAGAAAGGGGAUUCCCUAGACAAACUCAAUGAAGGGAGAUGCGCUAAAAAUAUAUAGAAAAUGGGAGGUGUUGAACAAACUAUAGGAUGUGCAUGCCCUAUAAAACUCAAGAAAGUGGGGGUGCACUAAAUCAACUAUUGAAAGGGGGAUGUCCUAAACAAACUUAAGGAAAGGGGAUGCUCUACACAAAGUCCAGGAAAGGGAAUGAACUAAACAAUCUCCAUGAAGAGGAUUGACCUAAGAAACUCAAGAAAGGGAGAUGCCCUAAUGCAACUUAAGAAAUAGGGAUGCCCUAAACAAACUAAAGGAAGGGGAAUGCCCUAAACAAAUUCAUGGAAUGACAAUACUUUAAACAAACUAAAGGAAAGGGGAUGUCCAAGAGAAAAUCAAGGAAGGAGGGGAUUCCCCACAAGAACUAAAGGAAAGGAUGCCUUAAUGAAACUCUAUGCCAUAAACAAAUUCAAGGACACGGGAUGUCCUUAAAAAACUCUAAGAAAGUGGAUGCCCUAUAAAACUUAACAAAGUGGGAGUGCACUGAAUAAACACUUAGUAGGGAUGGCUUUAAACAAAUUCAACUAAGGCGAAUGCUC